UACGGAGGGUGCAAGCGUUAUCCGGAUUCACUGGGUUUAAAGGGUGCGUAGGCGGGCAGGUAAGUCCGUGGUGAAAUCUCUGAGCUUAACUCAGAAACUGCCAUGGAUACUAUUUGUCUUGAAUAUUGUGGAGUAAGCGGAAUAUGUCAUGUAGCGGUGAAAUGCUUAGAUAUGACAUAGAACACCAAUUGCGAAGGCAGCUUAUUACACAGUUAUUGACGCUGAGGCACGAAAGCGUGGGGGAUCAAACAGGA
rnacentral:rRNA from 1 species